rnacentral:rRNA from 1 species
GUUCUUUUAGGUUUUUCUGCUCAUGUAAAAAUAAAUAGCCGCAGAAUUUAACUGUGCUAAGGUAGCAUAAUCAUUAGUUUUUUAAUUAAAAACUAGAAUGAAAGAAUUAACAAUUUAACAACUUUUUUAAUUUAAAUUAUAUAAAUUUUACUAAAUAUAAAAAUAUAUUUAUAAAUAAGAAAGACGACAAGACCCUAUCAAACUUCACUUUAGUUUAGCUGGGGCAGCUAAUUAAAAAUGAUUUUAAUUUUAAUACUUUUAUAAAAGAUCCAAUAUAAUUGAUUUAGUGAACAAGUUACUGUAGGGAUAACAGCGUUAUAUUUUUUUGAAGUUCUUAUUUUUAAAAAAGAUUGCGACCUCGAUGUUGAAUUAUUUAACUUUGAAACGCAAAAUUUUCAUAAGUAGGCCUGUUCGGCCUUUAAAUUUUU